UCACAAGGCUAGAGACUGCCACCGUAUUUGAACUCAGAUCUUCCUGACUACAGCUCUUAACUGUCCCCAAACCACAUAUCAUCUGAACAAACCCGUAGGUUGAGCUGGCUUCUGGCUGGGCAUCCAAGCUAGCCGCCAGCAAGUGCCCAAGACUCCAGGGCUAAGGGCUGGGAGCGGCUUAAAGAUCACUCCCCGCUUUCCCUCCUCCCAGUCCAGGAGUCGGCCUCUGAUUGGAUGAUCUUCUUUUCAACUGAUUCCAAUCUGCUUGUCCUGCUGGGGGUGGAAAAGCAGCGGAGCAGUGUCUGGGGAAAAGCCUCAGCCGAAGGGUUAAAACGUGGAAGUUUUUUUGUUCUGGGAUACUCCUCCUUGUGCCUGGCCGGCCUCGGAGCGAGAGGUGAAGCCAAUCUUCGAUUAGGCAGUGCGGCCAGCCACGGCGGCAUUGGGUCUCCUUUAAAAUCCAUGAGAAGAUCUCAACAGAAUCGAAAUUGCUGCAUGAAAAUUAUGAGGAGGACCUAAUGAAGGAUGCAAGUGUGGCUAAAUGUGGAGGCAGUGUCAGGGUCCUCCCCCUCCUCCACCCUCGGAGUCUUCCAUUCUUCUGCAAUCCCAGAGGUCAGCAAAAUGCAAUUUCAGAGGAAAGCCCUUGUGAAAGAAGAAGCACCAGCUUGGUUUCUAAGGAUAACUAACUACCAGGCAAUGCAUUAACUACAAUGGACAUCUGUUCUGAAGAAGAAAAUUCUGUAUUAUCCAAAGGACUGGACAAGUAUGCUUUUAAAACAGAUUCUUUAGUCAAAUAAGGACUGGACAAACAUCAGAAUGUUUGUGAGCAGUCGAAGAGUAAAAAAAUGGCAGUUUGUACAUUUGUUUGCCACUUGCUUUUUACUAAGCCUCAUGUUUUUUUGGGAUCCCCUUGAUAAUCAUAUUAUGAGCCAUGUGAAGUCCUACUCAUACAGAUACCUCAUAAAUAGUUACAGCUUUGUGAACGAUAGCCUGUCCCUCCGGCACAACUUGGAAGGGGCGGCUAGCUUCCAAUACUUGAUUAAUCAUGAGGAGAAAUGUAGAGCACAAGAUGUCCUUCUUUUGCUCUUCGUAAAGACGUCUCCUGAAAACCGCUAUCGCCGAGACGCCAUUAGAAAAACAUGGGGUAAUGAUAGAUACGUUCGUUCUCAGCUGAAUGCCAACAUUAAGACUCUCUUUGCUUUAGGAAGUCCUAAUAACCCUCAGAAAUCUGAGAGAGAGAGGCUGCAACAUGAGCUUUUUUUAGAAGAUCAAGAGUAUAAUGAUUUAAUUCAGCAAAACUUCACUGAUACUUUCUACAAUCUUACUCUAAAAUUGCUUUUGCAGUUCAGAUGGGUCAACAUGCACUGUGCACAUGCCAAAUUUGUUAUGUCAGCAGAUGAUGACAUAUUUAUUCACAUGCCAAAUCUCAUUGAAUAUCUUCGAAGUUUAGAGCAAAUUGGUGUUCAAGAUUUUUGGGUAGGACGAGUUCAUAGAGGGUCUCCUCCCGUAAGGGAUAAGAACAGCAAAUAUUAUGUCCCGUAUGAAAUGUAUCAUUGGCCUUCAUACCCAGACUACACAGCCGGAGCUGCCUAUGUGAUCUCCAGUGAUGUAGCGGCCAAGGUAUAUGAAGCAUCACAAACACUUAAUUCGAGUCUUUACAUAGAUGAUGUGUUCAUGGGUCUGUGUGCCAACAAAAUGAAUAUUGUACCCCAGCAUCAUGUAUUUUUUUCUGGGGAAGGAAAAGCUCCCUAUCAUCCCUGUAUUUUUGAAAAAAUGAUAACAUCUCAUGGACAUUUGCAAGACCUUCAGUACCUAUGGAAGGCAGCAACAGAUUAUAAAGUCAAGACAAUUUCUAAAAGCUUUUUGGGUCAUAUAUACUGUAGAAUGGUUAAAAUAUUGCUUCUUUGUAAACCAAAAUAUGUGGACACCUAUCCUUGUAAAGCAGCAUUCUACUAAUAGUACUUGAAUAUUGUCUCAAAUGUCACUGAGCCAAACCUGAAAGAAAACUUUUCAAUGUUUAUCCAAAUCCACAGUGAAUACGGUAAGCAAAGAAAUGUUUUGAAAGCUAAGCCAAUCAGAACAUUUCUUUGAUUAAAAAAAAAAUCCAACUCUACAACUUCUAUUUUUUUAGUAGCCUAAAAUUUUAAAUUUCAACUCAAGGAAUUUAAGACUUGUGGAAUGAAAUCCUCACUUUGUGCCCCAUGUAUAUUUUAAAGUACAGAGAGUUCUUAGUUACUUUUUAAAAAAUUCUUGGUAUUAACUUUAACUUGGAACAGUCCAUGUAAUAGUGAAAUACAUCUUAAAAUAAGAGUACUUUAAGGUUGGGGAGGUAAAUGAACUUGGAAAAUACCGAUCACAGGGGAGUUGUCAAUGAAGACCUAAUAGAUCUGGUCAUUAAAAAAAAAAGAUUUAGAAGGGGAAAAAAAAGGUAAGCAUUAUUUAAAUAUGGGCAAAAUAAUUUUCGUUUGACAUCCAUGUAGUAAUAAUCUCUAAAUAGCGUUAGGCUAGUUUAUAUAAUCUACUGACUUUUACCCCUAAAACUAUAUAAGAAAGGAGCAUGUUUUUUAUAAUAUCCUAAUCUGUGCUUUUCAAAAUUUAAGUAUGUUUGAAUUGGAAUAGGAAGAAAUAUAAAUAUAUUGCAAAAAAUGGCCUGCUUGCCCACUAAACCCUUCCUUUUCUAGGGUAAAAUUACAGUAUAUUCUCAUUUCAGUAAGAUUUCAUUUUAGUGACAUAUUUUGAAUUGAUAACUUAAAAGUUCUUUUAUCAAAACAGGUAUGACUUGGGAAAUAGGUAUUCUUUAAAAAGAAAUGCUUUGGGUUAUGUUCAGAUGGAUUACUUUUAAAAUACUGGUAUGGUAGAAAACUAGUGGAAAUUUUUCAAAAGGAAAGGGUAGCUACAUGUAAAGGAAGUCUCUUAUUUUCCCCAUGUAAAUCAUGUUUAAAAGAUUUUGUAUUUAUACAUUAAUCUUAAAAAGGAAAAAAAAUUACGGAGGUAGAAAUUUGCUAAUGCAAAUUUAGAUUCAAUUGAAUUUCACAAAAGUUUAGCAUUAAAUCUUCCUCCUUACAUCAAAACUAUUGUCAAUAGUGGACUUCACUUUUUCAGUAUUUCAAGCUUGAGGGCAAAAUGGAGUGAUGGCUCUUAUUUUGAUAGAAAGUUAGUUUCCAAAAGUAGGUUCUACAGAAAAUGUAAGACUAUAACUAAAGGAGUAAAGGUAUGAAAAUUACAUCCUAAUUCAACAAGAGUUGCCUAAUGAUGCACCCUCCCUUGGUUUUUAAAAAGCAGGGAUAAAAAUAAAUGUGAAUUAAUUUCCUGCUUAAUCUGCUGCAAAGGGAAUAUUCACAGGUCAAAAUGUUUUCUCCAAAAUGAGAACAACAGUGUGGACUCAUUCUGAAUUGGCCUUAACAGACAUAGCUGCAGAAAAGGCCCAUUCUCAAUUGUUAAACUAUUUCACCAAUAGAAUGUAGUCUGAAAUAAACAAAAAUAAACUCCCUUUCUAUAUACCUGGCUUAUUAUGUACUUAAUUUAGCUGUUUACAUGCAGAUAAGUCUGUUUUUCUAGACCCUGAAGUAAGGCUUGUUUACAUUGCUCAGACAGUAAUUAGUUUACUUAAGCCAAUGUUGAACUAAAUGACAGUUAAAAGAAUAUAACAAUUAUAGAUAGGUUCCUGGUAGCUCUACAAUACAGUAGGACUUUUAAUAUCAUUAGAUUUAUGUUUUCCUUGCCAUUUUAAAUACUGCAAAUGAUACCUAACUAUUUUAAUAAAGAUGGGUUGAUACUUUAUGAUCACUUCCCCCUAGUUGGUGAUUGAUGAUAUCCCUUUAACUUUUAGAUAUAUGCUAGAGUCAUUUGUAAUUCGUAGUUAUUUAAAUUCACUGUUGGAUAAAAAUACUAAUAUUGCUCUGACCUUUGAAAUGCUCUGGUGUUUACAGCAGGUCUGUUUGUUUAAACAGUUAUUUAUUUGCUUUAAAAGGACUCUCGUGAUUUUUUUUUGUUUUGUUUUGUGGUUUUUUUCAUUAUUAUUCUUGCUUUAAAAUAGAAGUGAAACUUAAACAUUUGAGUUUAAAGGAAAUAUGACGGCACUCAUUCUUAAGAAUGGAGUUGCUAGAAACUUUCUUAGUUGUUAGUAUUUACAAAUAAAAGGAUUCCAACCUUUUUAAAAGGAAGGAAAUAAAACCUGCUGGUGCUCUAAUGCAGGGCUGUUAUGGUAUGAAUUUUAUCAUUAUAUAAAUUUUAAAAAUCAGCCUGGAUGGUCGCUUGAGUAGAAGUUUUGAGAUGAUUGCACAGAGUGUUAUUGCCAUAAAUUGUUUUUACCUCUGGUUAUUUUUGAAUCUUUUUCUUUAUUGCUGAUUUUAUACAAAAAUGUUCAAUAUUUAUAUUCUUCAAAUUUUGCUAUGAUAUUGUAACAGAGAACUGCAGUGUAUAGUGUUUUAUUUGUUUGUUUUGUUUUGAUUUUAGUAAAUCUUUCUAGCAUUUCCAAUAAAUACUUUUGAAAUUGGCA